rnacentral:misc_RNA from 1 species
UCGGGCGUAGACCUGACAUGU